rnacentral:rRNA from 1 species
GUGGGGAAUAUUGGACAAUGGGCGCAAGCCUGAUCCAGCCAUGCCGCGUGUGUGAAGAAGGCCUUCGGGUUGUAAAGCACUUUUGUCCGGGAAGAAAUCUUCCAGGUUAAUACCCUGGGAGGCUGACGGUACCGGAAGAAUAAGCACCGGCUAACUUCGUGCCAGCAGCCGCGGUAAUACGAAGGGUGCAAGCGUUACUCGGAAUUACUGGGCGUAAAGCGUGCGUAGGUGGUUCGUUAAGUCUGCCGGGAAAGCCCCGGGCUCAACCUGGGAAUGGCGGUGGAUACUGGCGGGCUAGAGUGCGGUAGAGGGUGGUGGAAUUCCCGGUGUAGCAGUGAAAUGCGUAGAGAUCGGGAGGAACAUCUGUGGCGAAGGCGGCCACCUGGACCAGCACUGACACUGAGGCACGAAAGCGUGGGGAGCAAACAGGAUUAGAUACCCCUGUAGUCC